CCUGGCGUGCUGCGAUUCAUGGGGUCACAAAGAGUCAGACAUGACUGAACUGAACUGAGAUACACAAAUCCAAAGGAAAAAAUAAUAAUAAAUACCUGAAUCAAACUAUUUGUUAAAAUUAUGCAUAAUACAUCAUAAUCAAGUAGGAUAUGUAUGUGUCUUAAUCACUCAAUCCUGUCCAACUCUUUGUGAUCCCAUGGACUGUAGCCUGUCAUGCUCCUCCAGCCACGGAAUUCUCCAGGCAAGAAUACUCCAGGUAGUAAUGGUAAAGGAAGGGAAAAUACAGCUUUACCGAGAGGCACUGGGUCUAUGAGAAGGAUACACACGACCAUGAAACUAAAAAAAAGAAGAACAAAGGGGAAGAAAUAACAGGAAUAAUUUAAUUUUUAUAUAGUACUUUAUAAAUUCAAUUUUCUUAGCAAGCCCUAUAAAUUGGUCAGGCUUUUGGAUGUUCUCUUUGGGAGAGGAAGUCACCAACUUGUCUAAAGAAAGUAAGAAUUGUGAAACAAAUGAUUGAGCUUUUUGUUACAUUCAUAUGAAACAUAGAGGUCUUGAAAUAUAUAUCUACCAGGUGCCUAUUAAGAGCGUGUUUAGAAACUUCAUGUUUACGCUUGACUCUUGUGUCUGUUUGUAUAAGCUUCUUAAAAGUCUAUCUGAUAUCUUUUUCUUCUGUGCAAACAUGGAACAGAAUAACAAAUUAAACCUACCCGUCCUCCCAAAGCUUCGUUCUGGUCAGUGAUUAGAAUACCUCUUCCAUUAUGUUGUUUUUCUCUGCUCAUAUCAUGGGAGAAGGACUAGUAACCAAUGAGAUCUCCGAAUUAAAAGCAAACAGUGUAGGGGCACUCUGCAUGGUCCUUCCCUGAAUGGACAUAAGUGGCCCCUUGUGUUCUUCCACUCCUGGGUAACAGCUCAUACUUGAAGGACGUUUGAGCAACAGCUCAGGGCCAGGGCACCAGCAUUCAGAGCACUCAGCACCAUCUUCACGUAGUCUAAAGACAAGCCUGCCCUUGGGGUCUGACCGUUGUCACCACCAUCAUCUGUCCAGAGCAGCAUGUCCUCCAAAGCCACUCUUAUACUGUGCUGGGGCCUCAAGGGUUCAAAGAAGGCUGAAGCUGCCAUAUAAGUGCACACUGUUCCAGAGACACAGAAAUGUUCCUGAAAAUAGAACUAGGGAGACUUAUCCCUAGAGAGUUUAUGUUAUAGCUAUGAAGAAACACAACAGAACACAAGAAAGUUGUUCCAAAAGAAACUGUCAUGCUAGAUACCAGGUCCGCAGGCUUCUUAACAGCUGGCCAGCUGGAUCAUUUGGUGUUUCAGUCAAUUACUUCCUCUGGAUCCUUCCGGUAAGCACCGGAAGCUUACCGGAAGUAGCUAAGCACCGUGUUACCUACUAUCUGUGAAAAAACACACACUGUCGGCUCAGGUGGAGCUGGUAUCUACCUUGGUCCAUAGCACCCACAUGAAACAUUCAUCUAAUGACAGAUGAGGAGGACCAGCUUUGGAUCCAGGCCCCAAUAUUGCUAACUUCCUGCCUGAGCAGAAUUGGGCAACUCAGUGAGCUUUUCCAAGCCUUCCUCCUGAACUGCAAGAGGGGGAUAAUAAUAUCCCUGACUUCCUCAGGUGAAUGUGAGCCAGGCAGGUAGGAAAUCUUAACUUUAUGAAAUAAAUCUCAUUUCAUGGAGACAAUUUCAUGCUGUGGUUAGGUAAGCCAUGGUUCACACCCUGGUGUUACCACCCAUUAGCUACAUUUCCUUGGUCAAAUUACUUAACCUCAUUUGCUCCCACUUCUUUGUUGGUAGAAUAUAGAUAACUGUCAUAGUGAGAUGAUUUUCCCACCUCACUGAACUCAACAGA
rnacentral:lncRNA from 1 species